rnacentral:rRNA from 1 species
CAGCGUCACGAGUGGCAAUCAUUUUUAUUUGGCCUAAAGCGUCCGUAGCCGGUUUUGUAAAUCUUUUGUGAAAUUGUUGGGCUCAACUCAACAACGUGCAGAAGACACUGCAAGACUAGGAACCGGGAGGAGUCAGAGGUAUUCUAGGGGGAGCGGUAAAAUGUUGUAAUCCUUAGAAGACCACCUGUGGCGAAGGCGUCUGACCAGAACGGAUUCGACGGUGAGGGACGAAAGCUAGGGGAGCGAUCCGGAUUAGAGACCCGAGUAGUCC